rfam:Haemonchus placei strain MHpl1 genome assembly, scaffold: HPLM_scaffold0001113
GGCACAAAUUUAAAGUAAAGUAGAUUAGUAUGGUCAGCUGAUACUACUGAUCUACUUUACCUGAAAUUCAGGCCC